rnacentral:rRNA from 1 species
AGUGAACGCUGGCGGUAGGCUUAACACAUGCAAGUCGAACGGCAGCACAGUAAGAGCUUGCUCUUACGGGUGGCGAGUGGCGGACGGGUGAGGAAUACACCGGAAUCUACUUUUUCGUGGGGGAUAUCGUCGGGAAACUUACGCUAAUACGGCAUACGACCUACGGGAGAAAGAAGGGGAUCUUCGUACCUUGCGCGAAUGAAUGACCCGUUGUUGGAUUAGCUAGCUGGCGGGGUAAAGGCCCACCAAGGCGACGAUCCGUAGCUGGUCUGCGAGGAUGAUCAGCCACACUGGAACUGAGACACGGUCCAGACUCCUACGGGAGGCAGCAGUGUGGAAUAUUGGACAAUGGGCGCAAGCCUGAUCCAGCCAUACCGCGUGGGUGAAGAAGGCCUUCGGGUUGUAAAGCCCUUUUGUUGGGAAAGAAAAGCAGCAGGUUAAUACCCCGCUGUUCUGGCGGUACCCAAAGAAUAAGCACCGGCUAACUUCGUG